rnacentral:rRNA from 1 species
GACGAACGCUGGCGGCGUGCUUAACACAUGCAAGUCGAACGGAAAGGCCCUGCUUUUGUGGGGUGCUCGAGUGGCGAACGGGUGAGUAACACGUGAGUAACCUGCCCUUGACUUUGGGAUAACUUCAGGAAACUGGGGCUAAUACCGGAUAGGAGCUCCUGCUGCAUGGUGGGGGUUGGAAAGUUUCGGCGGUUGGGGAUGGACUCGCGGCUUAUCAGCUUGUUGGUGGGGUAGUGGCUUACCAAGGCUUUGACGGGUAGCCGGCCUGAGAGGGGGACCGGCCACAUUGGGACUGAGAUACGGCCCAGACGCCUACGGGAGGCAGCAGGGGGGAAUAUUGCACAAUGGGCGGAAGCCUGAUGCAGCAGCGCCGCGUGCGGGAUGACGGCCUUCGGGUUGUAAACCGCUUUCGCCUGUGACGAAGCGUGAGUGACGGUAAUGGGUAAAGAAGCACCGGCUAACUACGUG